AUAUAUUCUGCAAAUGCCCCCGGAUGAUACUGUCCGAUUACACCCAAAUGUUCACAUUGUGCAAAUACAGACUUUUUACAGGAAUCACACUCACCGCAAUAAAGAGCAGGAC
rnacentral:antisense_RNA from 1 species